UGGCAAGGGGAGUAAUAUCCAUAAGUAGCGUUACAAACCACCGCCUAAAUCAGCCACCUUACC
rnacentral:tRNA from 1 species